rnacentral:rRNA from 1 species
GGUGAGUAACGCGUGAGAAUCUGCCUUCAGGAUGGGGACAACAGUUGGAAACGACUGCUAAUACCCAAUAUGCCUACGGGUGAAACUUAUUUGGCCUGAAGAUGAGCUCGCGUCUGAUUAGCUAGUUGGUGGGGUAAGAGCCUACCAAGGCGUCGAUCAGUAGCUGGUCUGAGAGGAUGAGCAGCCACACUGGGACUGAGACACGGCCCAGACUCCUACGGGAGGCAGCAGUGGGGAAUUUUCCGCAAUGGGCGAAAGCCUGACGGAGCAAUACCGCGUGAGGGAGGAAGGUUUUUGGAUUGUAAACCUCUUUUCUCAGGGAAGAAUUUUGACGGUACCUGAGGAAUAAGCAUCGGCUAACUCCGUGCCAGCAGCCGCGGUAAUACGGGGGAUGCAAGCGUUAUCCGGAAUUAUUGGGCGUAAAGAGUCCGUAGGUGGUCAUGCAAGUCUGCUGUCAAAGCCCACAGCUUAACUGUGGAUCGGCGGUGGAAACUGCAUGACUUGAGUACGGUAGGGGUAGAGGGAAUUCCCAGUGUAGCGGUGAAAUGCGUAGAUAUUGGGAAGAACACCGGUGGCGAAAGCGCUCUACUGGACCGUAACUGACACUGAGGGACGAAAGCCAAGGUAGCGAAAGGGAUUAGAUACCCCUGUAGUCUUGGCCGUAAACGAUGGAUACUAGGCGUUGUCUGUAUCGACCCGGACAGUGCCGAAGCUAACGCGUUAAGUAUCCCGCCUGGGGAGUACGCACGCAAGUGUGAAACUCAAAGGAAUUGACGGGGGCCCGCACAAGCGGUGGAGUAUGUGGUUUAAUUCGAUGCAACGCGAAGAACCUUACCAAGAUUUGACAUCCCGUGAACUUUCCAGAGAUGGAUUGGUGCCUUCGGGA